CAAUAGCGUAUAUUAAAGUGGUUGCAGUUAAAAAGCUCGUAGUUGGAUUUCUGGUGGGAGCGAUCGGUCUGGCGCUUAGCGCGAGUACUUGCAUCGUCUCCGGCCAUCCUUGGGGAGAGUCUGUCUGGCAUUAAGUUGUCGGGCAGAGGAUCCUCAUCGUUUACUGUGAAAAAAUUAGAGUGUUCAAAGCAGGCUUAUGCCGUUGAAUAUAUUAGCAUGGAAUAAUAAGAUAGGACUUUGGUACUAUUUUGUUGGUUUGCGCACCAAAGUAAUGAUUAAUAGGGACAGUUGGGGGUAUUCGUAUUCCGUUGUCAGAGGUGAAAUUCUUGGAUUUACGGAAGACGAACUACUGCGAAAGCAUUUACCAAGGAUGUUUUCAUUAA
rnacentral:rRNA from 1 species